GAAUACCCAGCUUGAUAAGGCUCCUACGACAUCUGUCACCCCAUUGAUCGCCAGGGUUGAUUCAGCUGAUCUGGCUGGAUAGGCAGGUGUCCCCUUCCUCUCUCAUCGCUCCAUGUGUGUCCCUCCUAAAGCUGCAUGCUAGGUCAAAGCUGCAUGCUAGGUCAAAGAGGACAACCAGCCCCGAUAGAGGAGGACUGGUCUUCAGUCAAGGGUAUACAAGUAGCUGUGCUCCCCGGCUAGAACCUCCAAACAAGCUCUCAAGUUCCAGAAGGAAGUGAAAGAAAAAGGAAACCAAGAAUGUGGAUAGAGU
rnacentral:snRNA from 1 species